rnacentral:miRNA from 1 species
GCAGACACAUUCCAGCCAAUCAACAGCAGACCCUCCCUCCCAAACCCUCCCAACUCCUGGACAGCAUCCAUUUUGAAGCUGCAUUCUUAGUGAGCUGUCCAGGAGGUGGGAGGGUCUGGGAGGGAGGGUCUGCUGCUGAUUGGCUGGAAUGUAUCUG